GGCUUCCCUUUGGAGAUCCUUGGAACACCACAAUUAUGUCUCAGGCAGAACAAGAUCCUUCAGGCUGGAAGCACUGCCCUCUGUCCUGGCCCUGGUCUAUGGCUGCAGCCCCUAGGCUCAGAAGGGCUUGGCAGAAUUGUUGCUGAAACUGAGACCUGUUGUCCAGAAGGUGUCCUGGGGGCCAACCCCAAGGAAUGCACAGCCUCCUGGAAGGGAAAAUGUUUCAUAUAUCAAACCCAACAAUAUUUGAAGAUACAAUUAGCAGGUGACUCGUAGGACAAGAAUAUGUCUGCACCUCUUACUGGAAGAUCCCCGGUGUCUUCAGUGGAGGGGGAAGGGAUAUCAGCUUAUGAGAAGCAGCUCCACCUCGGAAGAACUUUCUGGAGGAGCCUCACACUGGCUCUAGUUUGCAAGUGUGAACCAGAGAAGCACAAAGUUGACUGAAGUUAUCUGGACACCUCCCCUGCUGUGACUGCCUAGGGCCUCUGAUAACCCCCGGAUUCCCAAGGACCCCUGGAAUUCUUUCUUGUCAGGAAAACACACCCCUCCAUGCUCUGGAGGACCUAUGAGCCUGAUGUUUCUGGAAUGGUACCAAGCACACUCAGGCUCAAAUUCAGGUUCAAGAUUCAGCUCCCUCUUGCAGCCAGAGGAGAUAAAAGAACCAAGACAGGAGAGAUAAUCUAAGUGUGCAGUCGUGGCUUGGCUUAUCUUUAUUUAUUUUAAAAAGACUUAUCUUGGAUACUGGAGCUUAAAUUUUUAAAGUCUGCUGCAGGGUUCUGGCUUGGACUCUGGUGUGCAAAAUACAUGUGGGGGUAGGCUGUGGUACCAGGGUGGAAAGUCAUCAUCUUAUGGGAUGUGAGGGAAAGGUGACUGUGAGCCUCCUGAGACCAUCUUUGUGACUGGGAUUCUGUGUGUAGGGAGGGGGCUGCAGCUAAAAACGCUGAACUUAAAAGCAAACAGGGCAUUACCACUAGCAUGGCAAACACUGGGAAAAUGAGCUUCUUGUCAGAGAGUCAGGUCGCACAGGCGACCAUGAUCUUGCCUCUGCUUCCUUCCGUCUUUCUCCUGGGCACUGUUCAGUCCUUUAUGUGAGAUGUAUUAGGAGGGGCAGUUCCUACUCCUGACUAUCUAUUUCAGCUUCUUAACUUAGAGUUAAAUUCAUAAUGUGUUUGCUCAAGGGUCAUCUUUAUCCAAUGUGUUUACUUUGCAAAACAUGCUGGAGAGGAUUUGGAGGUGUGUGAUGCCCCAGAGAAAGUUACCCUUUCUGUUUAAUCUCUGCUCAGGGUCAAGGAAUAGAACGCCCAACUCAGAAUACCUCAGAUAAUAAGGAGAUUUAUUGACUCUUAGGACUCAAAGACCAGAAGCAGAGUGGCCUUCCCAGCCGCUCUGAUUUGGUGGCUUAUGAGCAAGCAGUGAGCCAGGUUCUUAGAUUCUCCCGACUCCAUUCUCUCUGGAAACUCCACCCCGAGCAAACGUGAUCUCUCCUGGUAUAGCAAAAUGGCUGCCUUCACAUAUGCCUACCAGGCCCUCUGAGGGAUGAGUGAGAUCUCUUUCACAAGGGCUGGCACAAGAGAGGGAGAACAUUUGCAUUUUUCAGAAGCCUCUCACUUUGUGUCUCAGAUAAUGAGUUGAGUUACAUGCCCAGGGAGAAUGCUACAGGUUGGCUGGAUCGGUCAACCAGGGUGGGGGGUCCUGGACAAAAGACUCACAGGGCUGCUCUACAGAUGAGAGUGGGGAGAAGUGGGUGAGGAGGGCUGUACCAUACCCACCCUCUGCGGUCCACUCAGGUUUUUUGGAUGGAUGGGAAAGGCACAGAGCUGCAGGUGGCUGUGACUCUUGCCUAGGAGCUGCCUCUGUAGACUCUGUUCCCCUCCCCAGUGCCUUGUGUAGCAAGGCCAGCUGUUCCUACUGAGCACGGGAGGGUGAGUGAAUGAGUUUUCAGAGAUCAGGGAGACAUUGACCAUCCAUUCCCCUCUGCUUUUCUCAGAGGCUCACAUCAAGAAGCCUAAGUCACUCUUAGGUCAGUGGCUACAAGGGGCUGGAUAUUAAUAAAAUCCCCGGAAGGAAAGGAGAAGAUCUUUAAGAUAUUUGGUGUAAGACAGCCUGGUUGUCCAUUUUGCACAUGACAUGUAAUGUUCAUAGUAAUGUGUCAUGGUUAAUUUGAUUGUCAACUUGACAUGACUUAGAGCCACCUUGGAACGGAGGCUCAGUGAGGGACCCUUGGCAUGUCUCCGAGGGACUAUUGUGAUUGCUUUCAUUGAUGUGGGAAGAGUCAGUCUGAACAUGUGUAGCUCCCUGAUUUGGAGCCUGGACUAUAUAAGAGUAGAGAAAGCUAGCUGAGCACUAAGCAUACAGACAUCACCCUGUCUGCUAUUGACUGUGGCUAUAAGACAAGCUGCUUCAGGCUCCUGCUGCCGUGACUUAUCCACAAAGAUGGACUAGAAUCCGGAAGUGUAAACUAAAAUAAAGCCCUUCUCACUAUGUUCGUUGCCCCCCCCCCUUCCCUCCACAGCUGGGUUAGCAUCUAUGGGUCUCAGAUAUACUUAAAGAUUUUAAAUGAUCUGCUGGAGGGUCGGGUCUCACCUGGCUUGCCAUGUGUCAUGUGAGUAAAAGUCAUUGAGUCACC
rnacentral:lncRNA from 1 species